GAUGAACGCUGGCGGCGUGCCUAAUACAUGCAAGUCGAGUGAACGGACGAGAAGCUUGCUUCUCUGAUGUUAGCGGCGGACGGGUGAGUAACACGUGGAUAACCUACCUAUAAGACUGGGAUAACUUCGGGAAACCGGAGCUAAUACCGGAUAAUAUUUUGAACCGCAUGGUUCAAAAGUGAAAGACGGUCUUGCUGUCACUUAUAGAUGGAUCCGCGCUGCAUUAGCUAGUUGGUAAGGUAACGGCUUACCAAGGCAACGAUGCAUAGCCGACCUGAGAGGGUGAUCGGCCACACUGGAACUGAGACACGGUCCAGACGCCUACGGGAGGCAGCAGUAGGGAAUCUUCCGCAAUGGGCGAAAGCCUGACGGAGCAACGCCGCGUGAGUGAUGAAGGUCUUCGGAUCGUAAAACUCUGUUAUUAGGGAAGAACAUAUGUGUAAGUAACUGUGCACAUCUUGACGGUACCUAAUCAGAAAGCCACGGCUAACUACGUG
rnacentral:rRNA from 1 species